UUUAAAUAAUUAUUUUUCAAUAAUUCAAAUAAGAUAUAAUGUACGCAGGGGGAGUAUAAUUAAGUAAUGUUUAAACAAUAGCACAUUUAUUUAAACAUCACAUGUCUAUUGAGCGUUCAGGGAGAGAAAAGGUCUUGAACAUUCAACAUCUAAUACUUUUUGCAAUAUUGGUAGUUCCUUUAACUUACUUUACAAUUAAUGAUAUUCUAUUUUUAUUGUCAUUACUAUUAUUGUAAUAUUACUACUUAGUACAUUAUAAAAUUUGUUUUUUUUUUUUUUACUUGAAUUAAAAAUGAAGAUCAUUUAUUUAAGAAAUUUAUUUUAAAUUUUGUUAAGAAAUAAUGUGGUCUCAUAUAUCGAGAUAAAAAAGUAAUAUUUUGUUCACCUCACGGAGGGAGAAAGGUAUUUCAUCGAAUUGUUCGUUAACGGACUCAUAACGAGCGGGCUUUUAACGAGACUCGACUGUACUAUUGAAAUUUGAAACAUUGAACAAGUACGCCACCUGGCAAUGAAAUGCUUAAACUAACAUAGAAAACACGUCUCUGAUACCAACGGGUUAUAUUACUUACUCGUGUAAUAUGCACUUCCAUAUACGUAAAAUAAAUGAUAUAUCAAAGAAAGAUUUAACUUUUAUAGAUGUCUUUUUUAAAUUAAAAAUCAGUUUAUUUCUACGUACGCGAAUAAAGAAUUGAAAAAGAAUACAGCAGUACGAUGUCCCAUCGAAGAGGAAUAAAAGGGACAGGUAUUGUAUUCCGAUUAUGGUCAACGCGUGUGCAAAACCCGUCCCAGAGGAAUAUGGAGACUUGCUAGCCUCCGUGCUUUUAACAAGAGCCUUAUUUGUUGAGCGAAACUCCGUAUGUACAUAUAUGUACUAGUUCUGUCACGGUAUGGUUUCCACAAUGAAGCAAAAAUGCCAACGACAUGAAAGAGCUCGCCAAGUAAAAGCUUUCUGUUACCUGAGAAAAUCCACACUGCUAACAAAUACUAUCAAAUUAUCGAAAGGUAUACGAACUUGGUGCACACAUAUGCAUCGGUAAUUAUGACUAUGGACUAAUUGUAAGUUAAGAAUUUUAUUUUACGAUUUAUCUUAUUAAACAAAUAACUACUAUAAAAUAAUAAAUCA